CGGACAGUACGGGUAUUGGAACACGGCAGAAGGGGCGGGACUUCGCCCAAGUUUUCCCGCUUCUUCUCAGUUUGGGGCCGAAUCAACUGAACAAUAGAAUCUCGGAUCUCCAUUUUUGUGCCAUUCAAGUGCAUGUGACGAUUGAUCUGGACUCAAGCUGUAGGCCUACCAGUCAGAUGAGUAACUCAGUGGAGGAGGAGGACUUUGCGGAUAUCAGGGCCUACUUUUCCACAACAAAAUGGAACCGCCUCUGUAUGGCGGAGAAAAAAAGAUUCCUGCAGAUCAAGGAAAACCAUUUGGUUAUGUCGUCUCUUGGCCUGUCCUUUGUGGCUCCAGCCUUCAUGAGGAGAGAGAUGCCCGGCCAGGUGAGAGUCUGCUCACCUGAAGAGACAGACUCUGAGGAGGAGCAGCUCUGGACCUCUGGAUUGACCGGUACAAAGACAUUUACAAAACAUUUCUGGAAGGGGUGCUCGAGUGUGGAAGCCACCAACAGUCAGACAGGGGUCUCUACAGCAGCCCAGUACGUCAGAUGCAGUUUCUGUACAG